rnacentral:rRNA from 1 species
UACGUAGGGGGCGAGCGUUGUCCGGAGUUACUGGGCGUAAAGGGCGUGUAGGCGGUUUAGUAAGUCUGGCGUGAAAUUUUUCGGCUUAACCGGGAAAGGUCGUCGGAUACUGCAAGACUAGAGGACGGUAGAGGCGUGUGGAAUUCCGGGUGUAGUGGUGAAAUGCGUAGAGAUCCGGAGGAACACCAGUGGCGAAGGCGACACGCUGGGCCGUACCUGACACUGAUGCGCGACAGCAUGGGGAGCAAACAGG